rnacentral:lncRNA from 1 species
AUUUUAUAAAAUUAUCUUUUAAAUAUUUUAAUUUUAUAAAUAUAAGAAUACAAAUAUAAGUUUUAAAAAUAUAAAAUAAUAAAAAUAACUAACUAGAGAAAUAAUUAGCCAACAUAUUAUGCCAACCAAACAAAAUUCGUUCAAAGAACGAAAGCAAUCAGAUAUCAGAUCACCACCAACACGAUUGAUUCCAUUAUUUGGCAACUAUGCAACCCUAAUCCCCUCAUCUCUCUUUUCAAAGGCGAGAUUGGUCACGCGAUCAAUCCGAGAACCAAAUCUAUUGGUCAAAACCCUCGUUUUCUGAGGGAAGAUACAAAGGGAUCGACGAGAGAGAGAGAGAGAGAGAGAGAGAGAGAGAGAGAUUAGGGACCUGUAGAAGACAUGCUGCCUUUGGGAGGAGGAGAUGAUGUCGCUGCUGCCGUAGAAGACAUGCGGUUGCGAGGAGGCGGAAGAGACGAUGUUGCCGUUGUCGUCUUGCUUCGUGCUUUGUCGAGAUUUAUGUUGUAAUUU